UGGGGAAUCUUGGACAAUGGGGGAAACCCUGAUCCAGCGACGCCGCGUGGGUGAUGAAGGCCUUCGGGUCGUAAAGCCCUGUCGGGAGGGACGAAACUCUUGCCGGUAAAUAAUCGGCGAGAUUGACGGUACCUCUAAAGGAAGCACCGGCUAACUCUGUGCCAGCAGCCGCGGUAAGACAGAGGGUGCUAGCGUUGUUCGGAAUUACUGGGCGUAAAGGGCGCGUAGGCGGUCCGCUAAGUUCGGCGUGAAAGCCCCUGGCUCAACUGGGGAACUGCGCUGGAUACUGGCGGACUUGAGUACCGGAGAGGAGAGUGGAAUUCCUGGUGUAGCGGUGAAAUGCGUAGAUAUCAGGAGGAACACCGGUGGCGAAGGCGGCUCUCUGGACGGAUACUGACGCUGAGGCGCGAAAGCGUGGGGAUCAAACAGGAUUAGAUACCCCCGUAGUCC
rnacentral:rRNA from 1 species